GGAGGGGCGCGCGCGCGCGCUACCGAGGGCACCGCAUUUCCAGAACUGCGAUCUUGUGUCAGCCUGUUGAAGUUCUUGCGAUCUGCGUCCUGAGUCUUCGAUUGGAAAGAGGAGGGCUGACUGUCCGGGAAGUAUGGAGUGAAGACUCUAGGGGAGCAAGAGAGCCGGCAAGAAGGUCUCCCCGCUCUGGAAGAAGAGCUGGAGUGACUGACUCUGCAGCUCCUGAAUGAAGUCUGGCGUGUCUCCACUGCGAGGACAGAGACCAGCCUCAGCAGAGGUGGGUACGUCCCGCUGCGAUGGCUGUGAGAAUGAAAGAGACACAACAAUAAAGUAAGAGAGUGUGAUGA